rnacentral:sRNA from 1 species
GCCUUCCGCCGGCCGCCGCCUCCGAGCGCCGCCGGUUGCCUCCUCCCACCCUCCCACCUCACUCCUCCUCCGGUUAUCCCUCCUCCUCUUCCGCCCUCGCGCAUCGCUCGUCCUCCGGUUGCUCCCCGGGAGGGCCUGCUCCUACCCCUGGCGGUCUCUGGCCUGAGUGCGUGCGUCCCAGCUGCCGCUGCCGGAGGAGGCGUUGACGGCGGCGACGGCGAUGUGCGCCCGGUGGCGUUUUGCGAGGACGCCGUCUCCCCGUGCACGUACUUCUUCGCCUUCUCCGAUGGCCACGCCACGGAAAGCCUCCACUCAAGAAAUGUUGACAUGGGAAGCAGUAAUACUGGAACGUCACUUUUGGAGCUGAUAUUGUUGUGGGGAAACAGGUUAGCAAUCAUUUUCUUGGAAGUCGGAAGUAGUAUUCAUGUCAACUAAAUUGCGUCAAGUAUUGAGCAAUGCUACAUGAUGAACAUCAAGUCUUCUGAGGAUUGUUCAGAGCUUGAGACAACAUAACAACUGAAACUGAAAAGGCAUUGCUCCAGUGAGUUUCAGACAAAGCAGAGCAACUGAAACUGACUGCUUCAGUAUCCUCUGAGAUAUGAAUCCCUGAUUGUGUGUAGCUUGUCGGCCGCCUCCUGCAUGCUGAUGCGCUUGCUUGGGGCUGAAUCGGUGCAGCAGAGUCCAAUGUUCAACACAGAAAGAACACAUUGUGCUCCAUUUUCAUCGUUAAUGACUGAAUCUUCUUUGCAGAGGCUCAACUCUUGUACUAGCUGAGGAUCAACAAUCUGCAGCAUCUUAUCAGGGAUGUUCAUCUCUGUGAACUUUGCAAUGCUCAAUCCAUCCUUGAACAUGUCGUCUGUGGGCCUCCUCCUUAUGAAUAUCUCGAGGAGAACAACUCCGAAGCUGUAUACAUCUGCAGCAGUUGAAAUUUGUCCACCUCCGGCACAUUCUACAGAUUGCAUGUAGGAAGAGUUUAUUUCAAAUGCUCCAAUAAAUAGACAAAUGAUGAAACCAUUAUAUUAAUCACUUAAUAAGAAAACACAGUGUGAAGUGGACCACAUGUACCUGGAGCAACAUAUCCUACGGUUCCAUUUAUCGCAAAUGAAGAGGUCAAAUGUGAGUUACCAAACGAUUGUCUGGAAUCAUUUUUGAACCUUGCAAGCCCAAAGUCUCCGACAUGAGCUGUCAUAUUAUCAUCCAAAAGAAUAUUGGUGGGCUUGAUAUCACAAUGGAUAAUUGUCCCUUGAUGGUUGUGGUGUAGGUAAGCCAAUGCAUCAGAAACAUUGACCACAAUGCUUAACCUUUGAGCUAGUGAAAUAUAGCACAGAUCUGAAGAUGUUUCGUCGUGUGGAGUUGAGUACAACAAUUUAUGCAAGUCUCCUCGUGGCAUGAAUUCAUAUACCAGUGCUUUGAAGUCAUUUCCACUUGAAUCAAUGCUUGAGCACGCCGUCAAGACAGGAACCAGAUUGCGAUGCCGCACAUUUCUCAAAGCAUUACACUCUGCAAUGAAGCUCUUUUGUGCUCCCUUUGUCUCUAGACUGAAGACUUUGAUAGCAACUACAUUUAUGUCUUGAAAUAACUGUCCUUGGUAUACAGAACCAUAUCUUCCUUCGCCAAUCAAAUUGGAUGUUGAGAACCCAUUAGUUGCUCUGGCAAGAUCUUUAUAAGAAACUUUGGGAAAUUCUCUACCAAAUGAGGGCAAAGAUAUCGAGUUUGUCCUUUGUUUUCCCUUCCAAAUCAAAUACAGGACCAAUAUCACUACGGCAAGUGUCACCAUGCUAGCUAAUGGGAUCACUACUUUCAGUAGUACUGGUAGCUUGCCUUUAGUUGUAUUUGAAGGUGUGAUAGGACAUUCAGGUAAGUGUAACUCCAGUGCACCUCCACAAAGAGCCAAAUUUCCAUCAAUUUGCAUGGAAGUUGAAUUCUUGAAGAUUCCUUUAGUUGGGACCUGACCUGUAAGAUGGUUGAAUGACAAAUCUAUCUGUUCAAGGAGUUGAAGGUCACCAAGUGACACUGGUAUUGAUCCACUUAACUUAUUGUGUGACAGGUUGAGAAAUUUUAGGCUAAUUAAUUUGCCGAACGAGGUGGGAAUACCUCCACUAAAAUUAUUUUGGUCAAGCUCAACAUGUUGCAAAUUUUCACAGUUACUCAAAGUAUUAGGUAUAUCUCCUGACAGAUUAUUGGAUGAAAGCUGCAAAUAUAUGAGCUGCUUGGCAUUCCCUAUUUCUGUAGGAAGUUCUCCACUGAGAUUGUUUAAUGCAAACCCAACUUCCGCUAUUGUUGGAAUCCUGAAGAUCUCCUUUGGCACACCACCAUGAAGAUUGUUAUCAGUAAUGGUGAUUGUUGUUAGGAACUGAAGGUUUCCAAAGCUUAAGGUAUGUUUCCAAUGAACUGAUUUGUGUCUAGAAGAAUCUCUGUCAAGUGUGACAGAUUGGAAAGGGAGGAGGGAAGAUACCCUGUAAAACUGUUGGUAGACAAGCUUAGUUUCUGCAAUGUCUUCAGACCUCCUAGCCAUUGUGGUACAGAACCUGAAAAUCGGUUGUAAUCUAGUCCAAGAAUUAUCAGGUUGGGAAGAUUUGCAAUGCCUGAAGGAAAACUCCCUGACAAUUGAUUCUGUCCCAAGAAAAGAUACUGUAGCUGAACUGAAAAAUUGCCUAAUGAACCUGGUACCUCUCCUUCCAUUUGAUUCCUCGCUAUAGAGAUUCCUUGUAGCUGAGUACAAUUGGCUACGCUAUCCAUGAACUCCCAGUCUUGCUUGCUACGAGCAUGGAGCUGGUUCAUCUCAAGAUUUAACCUUGUAAGAUUGGCAAGCUUGCCAAUGGAGGCAGGUACAACCCCAGUAAAGUUAUUUUCAGAUAUAUCAAUCUUGACCAGAUUGGAAGCAUUCGCCAACGAAGAAGGGAUGUCUCCAUGAAAGAAGUUGAUGCCAAUGGCAAUCUGCCUAAGAUUGGGCAGCAAGCUACCGAUGCCCGAUGGCAGCUCACCACUGAAGCUGUUCGUGCUGAGGCUAAGCGCAACCAGCACCGACAUGUUCAGGAUCGCCUCUGGAAACCCACCUAACAGCCGGUUGCUGCUGGCGUAGAGGAUCUCCACCCCACUUAGCGUCGCUAGCUCACCGGGGAUGCUGCCGGUGAUGCCAUUGAACGCGAAGCUGAGCUUCCUCAGCGCCGUGAUGUUGCUGAGCGAGGGAGGGAUUGUCCCGACAAGUCUGUUCGACGAGAGCUGUAAUUCCUGAAGGCCAAGAGGCAGGCCGCCAGGGAAUCCUCCGGCGAGAUCAUUGUGAUCCAGCCAUAGCACCGUGAGCUCAGAGCAGUUGGCGAAGCUCGGUAUGAUCCCCUGCAGCGUGUUGUUGCUCAGGUAGAGUGACCGGAGACGACGCAGGUGGCCGAGAGAUUCAGGAAUCUGUCCGGUGAACCCAUUCGUCGCUAGUGACAGAUUCCUCAGGAAUGUCAGGUUGCCAAGUGAAGGAGAGAUGUGGCCAACCAGGCCUUGAUUCCUAAGAUCAAUGGCGGUGACGCGAGGUGGGUUCUUGGAGCUGCAUGAGAUGCCUUCCCAGCUGCAGAAGUGGGUGCUGUCAUUCCAGGAGAUGAGAGAUUGAUGUGGAUUGAGAGUGAUCGAGUUCUUGAAUUCAAGCAGUGACAGUCGAUCCGUUUCGUUUCUGAGAGUUGAACAGAUGACUGAAUGGGAGAUGGAGGCCAAGAACACCCAGAGGAAAUGUGCAGUUGCAGUGGUAACCUUCAUGAUGACCUAGUUUUGUAGAAUUUUGAUGGACCUUGUACAUAGAAACAGAGGAAAAAAAUAUCCAGAUAUUCAGAAAACGUUGUAAAAUGUUCAGACAUGCAAUGAGUGGCAACUAAGGUACCUGGAUUGUUUAGC